AUUGACCUCCAUAGGUUGAACCGUGGCAAUGCUCUAGAACUCCAUUAACCUCCUCUUCAACUAUGCAUCUGCUAAACAACCCAUCUGACCCUUUCUAGUAAAAAUAAGGCUCAUCCCAAAAGUAUUGAUUCACAUCCCGAAAGAAUUUUUUUUUUUCUAGUAGGAAGAACCCCGCUGACCUUGUAGUUAACAAUGUCAACAUACCACGGGAAAUUGUCCCCACUUAUUUCCAUACAAAUGUUAUGUGCCUCUACCCAUAUACCAUAGCACUUGGGACAUGAAAUCUACCAUUGUAUAGGAAAUGGGUAAGCAUCCAUGACAGGGGAUGGAAUUGAUGAAGAAGGAUUAGC
rnacentral:lncRNA from 1 species